AUUCUGGGAACUGUGGGCAAGAAGAGAGGCGGGAAAGCCAGAGCCAUCCAAUGCUUGUCUUCUGGUGCCCUCCUCCAGGAAGCCAUUCCUGGUGCCCUGGGCGCUGCUCCCAGCCUUGCUCACCCUGGGUCAUCACCGUUUUUGGAGGGGUCUGUGUCCUCCCCAGACUAUAAGACCCAGAAAAGCAGGGCCUGGAGCUAAGUCACAGUCGUGUCCCCAGCAUCCACUGACACAGAAAAAGCCACAAAGAAACAUGGUAAGAGCGUGGCAGAUAACAUCCACGGUGCUAUCGGGAGGUGACAGGUGACUGACCUCAGCCUUGGUGUUCAAGAAGAUUCCAGAAGCACGUCCUAAUCUGUGUCCUGGAAAACAACACUCUACCCCACAGCAACAAGGCAUGGAGGCCAAUGGAGAAGACAGGGAGAUGGUGCUGGAAGCAGGGUCUGCUCUUCCCCUGGGGAAGCACUGCAUCACCAGUGUCUGACACAAAGCCUGGGACAUGUGGGCUUCCAAGUGGACCUCUCCUGGAUAAAUGACCAUUAAUGAAACAGAGAAGGAGUUGAAGAGCCCCCAGAGGAGUGUGAGUCCCAGGGGUCCCGCCAGCUCCACUCCCACCUUCCAAACCUGUGAAAGUCAGGUGCCUGAGUCGCACAGUCUCUCCCACCCGAAUGCCAUGAGCUGCAGCGACCCAGCCUGUCUCUGCAGGAGGGCCAGACAUGCCGUGACAUCACCAGCUCCUCUAGGAAUAUGGGAUACAAGGAGUGGCUGAGAUCGGCUGAUCACCAGCUCACUCCGCUGCAGCCGCCCCAGAGCAAUGGCUCCCCGAAGCCGUGUUCUGGGUAAGGAGGGGAGGACCCCAUUCCCAACCGAACCCAUCUCCCAUCUCAGCCACCACCAGGGC
rnacentral:lncRNA from 1 species